rnacentral:rRNA from 1 species
UAACCGAACUCUCGGAGUAGCGGUGAAAUGCGUAGAGACCGAGAGGUACCCCGAUGGUGAAGACAGCUUACUGGGCGUCUCCUGACGCUGAAGCGCUAAGGCCAGGGGAGCAAAGGGGAUUAGAUACCCCCGUAGUCCUGGCUUCAAACGAUGUGGGCUUGGUGUCGGCCCCCUAUAGAGGGUCGUUGCCGGAGUUAACGCGUUAAGCCCACCGCCUGGGGAUUACGUCCGCAAGGAUGAAACUCAAGGGAAUUGACGGGGGCCCACACAACCGGUGGAGCACGUGGUUUAAUUCGACGAUAAGCGAAGAACCUUACCAGGGCUUGACCUAGCGGUAGUAGAACCCCGAAAGGGGAACGACCUCAAGCUUUGCUUGAGGAGCCGUGGCAGGUAUUGCAUGGCUGUCGUCAGCUCGUGUCGUGGGACGUUGGGUUAAGUCCCGUAACGAGCGCAACCCCUGCCCUUAAUUGCCAGCGGGUAAUGCCGGGUACUAUAAGGGGACUGCCGGAGAAUAUCCGGAGGAAGGAGGGGACGACGUCAAGUCAUUAUGAUCCUUAUGCUCUGGGCGACACACGUGCUACAAUGGGCACUACAAUGAGGAGCAAAUCCGCAAGGACGAGCAAAUCUCAAAAAGGUGCCCCCAGUGCGGAUUGGGGUCUGCAACUCGACCCCAUGAAGAUGGAAUCGGUAG